CAAUAGCGUAUAUUAAAGUUGUUGCAGUUAAAAAGCUCGUAGUUGGAUUUGUGGCGUACGGUGUGUUCCGGGCACUUGUUGUCUGAGUAACCUGCUGUUGCCAUCCUUGGGUGGAACCUGUGUGGCAUUAGGUUGUCGUGCAGGGGAUGCCCAUCAUUUACUGUGAAAAAAUUAGAGUGUUCAAAGCAGGCUUAUGCCGUUGAAUAUAUUAGCAUGGAAUAAUGAGAUAGGACUUUUUUGCUAUUUUGUUGGUUUGCGCAAAGAGGUAAUGAUUAAUAGGGACAUUUGGGGGUAUUCGUAUUCCAUUGUCAGAGGUGAAAUUCUUGGAUUUUUGGAAGACGAACUACUGCGAAAGCAUUUACCAAGGAUGUUUUCAUUAA
rnacentral:rRNA from 1 species